UGCGCCGUCAGCGAAUGCGAGGGCUCCGUGGCGCCAAGGCCACCCAGGUGCCGCCCUGGGCCACCUGGGCUACGGGAUGCGCGUGGCCGCCGGCCUCCUCGUGGGCCUCUGCAUGGCCCCGGGGCCGCAGCUGCGGGAAAAGCAGUCAGGCUCAGAAGGCGCCGCACCACGACGGGGCUCCUGGGCACCGCAAGGAGAGACGCAGGCCUGGGUGCAGAGGCCCCAGCCGCGGGCCUGAUUCACUGCGGAUACCGGGGACAAGGAGAGCUCGGCGGCGCCACCACCCCCGCGUACACAGUGGAGUCUUCUUCCCCGUCCCCCUCCCUGCACAAACGUGCGGGUCGCUGGAUUGAGAGGGCUCUUAUGGGAAGCGGGAGGCGUCGGGCACGGGGCCUGGCACUUAGUGGGCCUUCACUGAAAGGCCGUCCCUCUUCCCUUCGCCUUUCUUGUCCACGACCUGUCCCAACCAAGGCCAGGUGGGGUUGGGGAAGGCACGGAGGCUGGAAUGAGUUUGUGUGGUCAGGGGCGCGUCCUGUGCGGCACUUUCAGCUCUCUGCGCUGGACCCAGACAGACGCUCCACAAAGCGUCCAAACUUUGUCCUUCAGGAAGUGCGCAGGAUCGACGACUUCAACCCGGCUCGCUGGCUCUUUCUGCUCGGUGGGCCGACGGCCCACCUGUCCCUUCCCCAAGGGCCAGCGCCAACGCCCCAGGUCUCGGACACACAACCCACUCCCUGUACCGCCCUGAUGGAGAUCCCGAGACCGGCUCCGCGCCCCGUCCCCCACUCCCCUCCUGUGUCCGAGACUCGAGCCACUCCUGGCUUCAAAGGUUCUCCCCAGAACCCAAACGUGAAGUUUCACCUCCCGUGGGGCGCAAGCUGUUCGGAUGAGCCCCGAGUCCAGGAGCCGCGCGGUGCAGUUCCCGGGGCCCGAGAGGUGAGCCCGGGAGCCGCAGCCUACAUUACGCAGAAGCCGGGAGGCUCCGCGCAGCUGCCGCGAUGGAGGCGACCUCUGCAGGGAUUCGGCACCGUUUACCCUGCAGCCCCUGAUCCAGGGAGAGCAACGGAGAGCCCUGCCAGAAGCAGGCCUGGGGAUGCCAGCGCAGCUCCCAUGGUACCAAUGCACAGUUGACCAGAGCACAGCAGUUUUCUUUUCUUUUUCUUUUCUUUUUUUUUUGCUUUUUAGCACAGCAGUUUUGACCUAUGGGAGGUGACUUGGGUUAAGCCUCUGAAUGCACAGUUCUGGUCAUGCUGCACAGACUGCCAAUAAAGAGGGGUCUGAAAUCCA
rnacentral:lncRNA from 13 species